AGUCCUGGGUUAUUAUGAUGAGGACAAAUUAUCUGGGUUAAGAAAUUUAGUAGCUCUAUGGGAGGUGGAACUUGUUAUUGGUUUAAGAACGAAAGGGAGAAUCUGAGUGUGUUGUCAUGUAGAGGGCCAGCUGGUUUUAUAUGGGCAGGGUUGUAAAAGGGAUGUUGGACAUGGCGUAUCAUUAAAGGCACCAUUAAAUUGGUUGUCGUCAUUCAUUCUGUAUUAUCUGUACAGUUUUGUCUGAAGUUGGGGUAUUACUGAGGUAGUAUUAUGCCUGUGACUUAAAUUUUAUGAAGGAAGGGUAGGUACUAAUCGGUCCCAUGUCAUCCGUUGUCAAAUGGGGUCCCUCAGAGUCUGGGGUGGAACCAUCGGAUGAGGUUUAUUGGUAGGAGACGUACCCCCCAGGUCAGUCAUUUUCAGAUGGGGUCCCUCAGCACUUGGGGUGAAACCAUCUGGCGAAUUUUAUUGUGCAGGAGAUGUAUCCCAGUGUUAGUUAAUUUUAUGUAAGGGUGGGUAGGUACAAAUCGGUCCCAUGUCAUUGGUUGUCGGAUGGGGUCCCUCAGAGUUUGGGGUGGAACCAUCCGAUGAUGUUUUGGUAGGAGAUGUACCUUCCCCCCAGGUUAGUCAUUUUCGGAUGGGGUCCCUCAGAGUCUGGGGUGAAACCAUCUAAGAUUUGAUUGCACUGGGAAGCUCUUGUUUUAGUCGUGUCAUUAGAGAGUAUGUCAAGUCAGUACUCCAACUGAUACCACUUCUUGUAAAUGGCGGGCACAGUGGUUGUGUCUGCAGAGUGGAUCGUAAAAUGUGCCUUCUUCCGACCUCAGGACUGAGCACCCUGAGGUGGGGUUCUGUUUAGUUCACCGUCGGGGCGACGUUGCAGAAACUUGGGGUGGAUUGUAGCAGGAUUAGGUGAGCUGUGAUUGACAGCUGGUAUCGCCUAUCAGAGAGUGGCAGUCCCCUUUUAAGCGGUGAUUGGCUGCUGCUCUGAAUGCGUCAUGUCCGACUUCCCCCCUGGGGGUUUGCAACGUUAGCGGCAGUGUGUUGUCUGUCGUGCUGGUGCCCUUGUGCUGUCCGUGGUGUACGUGAUGGUGUACCCUCAGUUGGCUUAUGGUUUUCCUGCUGUUGGUUAACCUGUGCCAUAAAACAGUAAAUUGUCUGGGGUGAUACCACUGUUCGGAGUCUCCCUUUCGUUCUAUGCUGCGUCUCCCGUUGCGCUGUAUUUUGAUUCUCACGCUGCAGUGUUGCACCGCUGUUACCGACGUCAUUAUCUGUGCCCUUACACACUGGACUGUGUACUGUCUGGUUCUGUUGUGAGCCUAGCGUUUACGCUUCACUUGAGACGUUACUAUCUCCGAGCCGUGGUUCGCUCUCGGUGUGAGAGAAACGAGUCGCGUUCCAUUGGCUCUGCUUUUAAUGCAUCAAUUAUGUUUUUUUUGUUUGUUUUUCCCUAUUUUUGGGGAUUAUCAUUUGUGUUUGUAAACCUGUUUUUGGGUUCUGAGAAAUGCUGUUGACAUUCUGGACUGCUCGUUAUAGCUGGUUCCCGAGAAACUUGCUUGUCCAUAAUUGUGAUCCAAAACAUUGUUAAUUGUAUACAUCUUCUGUACUGCCUUACUAUUUCCCUGUGGUUUGGACUAGUAUAAUUACUUUUAUUAAUUGUUAUAAAUUUAUUUUCUUUUAUUGUGUGUGUGUGGUGGUCGUCGGCUUUGUGAAAUAAGGCUGGUCGCCACCAUUUUGUUUUGUGUGACCCAAUUAUUCAUAUUGUUUUGAUUUG